rnacentral:rRNA from 1 species
UACGUAGGGUGCAAGCGUUGUUCGGAAUUAUUGGGCGUAAAGAGCUCGUAGGCGGUUCGUCGCGUCGGCUGUGAAAUCCCGAGGCUCAACCUCGGGUCUGCAGUCGAUACGGGCGGACUGGAGUACUGCAGGGGAGACUGGAAUUCCUGGUGUAGCGGUGAAAUGCGCAGAUAUCAGGAGGAACACCGGUGGCGAAGGCGGGUCUCUGGGCAGUUACUGACGCUGAGGAGCGAAAGCGUGGGGAGCGAACAGG